AGCGAACGCUGGCGGCAGGCCUAACACAUGCAAGUCGAACGGGCGUAGCAAUACGUCAGUGGCAGACGGGUGAGUAACGCGUGGGAACGUACCUUUUGGUUCGGAACAACCCAGGGAAACUUGGGCUAAUACCGGAUAAGCCCUUACGGGGAAAGAUUUAUCGCCGAAAGAUCGGCCCGCGUCUGAUUAGCUAGUUGGUGAGGUAACGGCUCACCAAGGCGACGAUCAGUAGCUGGUCUGAGAGGAUGAUCAGCCUCAUUGGGACUGAGACACGGCCCAAACUCCUACGGGAGGCAGCAGUGGGGAAUAUUGGACAAUGGGCGCAAGCCUGAUCCAGCCAUGCCGCGUGGGUGAUGAAGGCCCUAGGGUUGUAAAGCCCUUUCGGCGGGGAAGAUAAUGACGGUACCCGCAGAAGAAAGCCCCGGCUAACUUCGUGCCAGCCGCCGCGGUAAU
rnacentral:rRNA from 1 species